AUUCUAACCCUUUCUUAGAACUCUCCUUUACAUUGUUUCCCGAUCGAAAUGUAGGACCAGAGUCAGAUCACACCAGCUCGUUUUAAUCUUAAAUGGAUAUUGCAUGUAAUGUCAACCCUUACAGUAACCCGAAACAACGCUAAUUAAACGGGAUAUGCACCGAGGGCUCAACUGGCGGCGCAUUGGAUGUAGGAAGCGGUCGUAUUUCCCCCCUGCUGCAGAAGGUAGAGGUUACAAAUCUGUGGGAACGUCUCAGAGGAAAGAGGGGGCGGGAGGAAAGGGAAGGGGUACGGGAGAAAGGCAGGCAGCUAGGGUGUUUCCUUAACUUCAAGGAAGAGUUUAAUCAAGUUAAUAGCUUAUUGUGGGCUAUUAAAACGAUACACCACUGGGAAACCGUACGUUAUCAAAUUUUAAAAGACACAAACAACUGAAGGAGACCGCGAUGUUGGGAAUAGGAAAACUGCACCACGGUCUGGAAUAGGGUGAAGGAUGGAGGGAGAGACGGAGAAAGAGACAGCGGAGGAGAAGGAGAGUGAUGAGACACAGCCGUUUGCUGGGGAAGGGGCAGGGCGACUUCAUCAGAAUGGAGAGUCCUCCGAGGACGACCAGGACCUACCCAUCAUGCACUGGGAAGACCUGAGCCUGAGGAUCGCUGAACUGGAGAAACAGGAGGAGGCGAGGAGAGAAAGGGCAAAGAGUACGAGUGGGUCGGAACAGGGGAGUGUGUCAGGGGGCUGGGCGGAAGAGAGGCAGGGUGGGCUGUGGAGGAAAGAUGAAUGGGAGGAUGAGGAGGACUACGGAAGAUGUCGAGUCACGGUCGUCUCGUCUAGAUUCCACAACCAAAGAAAUCUACAGUUAUGCUACAUCAACAACAGUGAGAGUGAGGAUGAAGAGGGGGCUGUCAAAGAGGGUUCUAUAGGACCAGGUAGCUAUGGUUACCACCCCUCUGGCCUGAAGUUGGAAGUGAGGGCCGCACUGAGCGCGCUCAAAAACAAGCUGUUAGCUGAACAGAAAGAGGAGUUUAAGCCAUUUGUGAUGUUUGAAACAUCUCUAAUAUCUGACUCCUAGUCUAUUGCCGGUGGUAAGAAAAAUUGUAUUUAUCUUGGGAGAACCUUCAGACGGAGAAUCUUCACAGCCAUAGUUAAAACAUUUACAUAUCUGAGGAAUACCAGCUUUUCCACAAGUUUUAUUGUGUAAACAUUGCAAUAUCCAUGACUUAUUAAUAUAAGGGAAUUGUACACUUACAGCCUGUGUAAAACAAGCUAAGGGGUUUCAUAUUCAGGCUAAAGGGAACUGUCCUGUAACAAUUUGGUAGAGAAGGUUCUUUGUUUCUAAUUUAGGAUAAUUAUCCUCUUGUAUAGUUGCUGAUGUAAGAGAAUUGUCCACUUAUAUUGCCUAUAAGCCUGUGGGUAUUGACAUUUAUGUUGACUCUUGUGAUAUACCUAGGUGGUUUGCGGCCAUAACUAUAACUACCACCAGCAUAGGAAACCACAAAGCUGCUAUUGGGUGAUUCCAUGUGAGCAAAGCCCAAAAAUAAUUUUGUAUCGCAGAUUGUUCUGGCAAUUAUCACAUAGAAACGUCAUUGGGAAGAUGGAUGUUUGAUAGGCUUUUUACAUUUGUAACACACCAUUUUUUGGAAAAUGAUUAAAGUGGGCUCUCUGCUACUUUUAGUUAUAAACAAUUUUAUGAGCAUCAUCAACACAGUGAAUAGAAAAAUGGAUUCAAAUGGAACUUUGAUAGGUCCUUCCUUAACCAAUAUCAAUUUCUAUGUAUUCUUCAAAAUUAGCAGAGCCCACCUUCGAAAUAUGUGUUUGAAGAGUAUAUUGUUCUAAACAAGAUGUCUAAAAAUAAUCAAAAUCAAAAAGGGUACUUUUGAGAUGUUCAUAAUGUUUUUAAUAUUGAAUAAAUUAAUGCGAUUUUUUUUUUUUUACAUUUUUUUUUUUAGAAUACAGCCAUACUCCAUAUUUUAAAGCAUACUAUAAGGAGUAUAAUGACACCAAGAUGUCUGUACGGUUCACGGAUUAUAUGGUCUAAAAGAGCCUAAAAUGGCCACAUUCAUCAUGAUUUUCCCCAAAAAUUGUUUGUGAUACAAAUGUAUCAAGCAUGUUAAACAUCCUUCCUCUCAAUUAAGUUUGUAUGUGAGAAUUGCCAGAGAAAUCUGAGAUACCCUAAAAAAAAAUUGGGCCAUGCUGGCGUGGAAUUGCCUUAUUCCAUUCAUUAUGUCUAGGUAAAGAGAUUUUCCUGACCAUGUGACCUCACCAGUAGCAAACACCAGGCUCUAGUUACUGACCCCCUCUUUCCUGUUCAAGUCAUAUGGUCAGGAAAAACUCCUGGCCAUUUGAACUAUUGUGCCUUGUCAAGCAAUUAUUAUAUAUCGUACUUUCACAAUCGUGUGUAUUUGUAGGUUGAUGGAAGAAUUAACUGUGAUAGCAGAUUCAUAGCUAUGGGAAAGGGAUGAGUGCUCUGAAGUAACAUUUAACUUUUUUGGUCUCUGAAGUAUUUUUUUCAGUAUUUACUUAAAAAAUAAUUUUGCAUUCAAUAAACCUUAGUUAUUUCAUGUUG
rnacentral:lncRNA from 1 species